rnacentral:rRNA from 1 species
UUUAAAUGGCCGCAGUAUACUAACUGUGCAAAGGUAGCAUAAUCAUUAGUCUUUUAAUUGAAGGCUGGUAUGAAUGGUUGGACGAGAUAUUAACUGUUUCAUAAAAAUUUUUAUUAGAAUUUUAUUUUUUAGUUAAAAAGCUAAAAUUUAUUUAAAAGACGAGAAGACCCUAUAAAUCUUUAUAUUUAAAUUAUUAUAAUUUUAUAGAUUUUUUUUAUUAUAAUAAUUAAUAAUAUUUUAUUGGGGUGAUAUUAAAAUUUAAUAAACUUUUAAUUUUUAAAAUCAUUAAUUUAUGAAUAAUUGAUCCGUUAUUAACGAUUAAAAAAUCAAGUUACUUUAGGGAUAACAGCGUAAUUUUUUUGGAGAGUUCUUAUCGAUAAAAAAGAUUGCGACCUCGAUGUUGGAUUAAGAUAUAAUUUUAGGUGUAGCCGCUUAAAUUUUAAGUCUGUUCGACUUUUAA